rnacentral:rRNA from 1 species
GUCUAUGACCGUACCAUCCUGAGCACUACUGAUCUUGUCUCAUCUCAGAAACCAAGCAAGAUUGGACUUGAUUAGUACUUGGAUGGGAGACUGCCUGGGAAUAUCAGUUAGUAUAUGCU